rnacentral:snRNA from 1 species
AUACUCUGGUUUCUCUUCAGAUCGUAUAAAUCUUUCGCCUUUUACUAAAGAUUUCCGUGGAGAGGAACAUUUAUGAGUUUGUACAAGUCAU